rnacentral:rRNA from 1 species
UACGUAGGGGGCUAGCGUUGUCCGGAAUCAUUGGGCGUAAAGAGCGUGUAGGCGGCCCGGUAAGUCCGCUGUGAAAGUCGGGGGCUCAACCCUCGGAUGCCGGUGGAUACUGUCGGGCUCGAGUACGGAAGAGGCGAGUGGAAUUCCUGGUGUAGCGGUGAAAUGCGUAGAUAUCUGGAGGAACACCGGUGGCGAAGGCGGCAUCCUGGACCGGUAUUGACGCUGAGUGAGCGAAAGCCAGGGGAGCAAACGGG